rnacentral:rRNA from 1 species
UGCGGUAUGCCUAACACAUGCAAGUCGUACGAGAGUUUUUAACUCAAGUGGCGGACGGGUGAGUAACACGUGAGAAUUUGCCUUUAGGAGGGGGACAACAGUUGGAAACGACUGCUAAUACCCCAUAUGCUUCCGAGUGAAAUGAAUUUAUUCGCCUAAGGAGAAGCUCGCGGCUGAUUAGCUUGUUGGUAGAGUAAGAGCCUACCAAGGCGACGAUCAGUAUCUGGUUUGAGAGGACGAUCAGACACACUGGAACUGAGACACGGUCCAGACUCCUACGGGAGGCAGCAGUGGGGAAUUUUCCGCAAUGGGCGAAAGCCUGACGGAGCAAUACCGCGUGAGGGAAGACGGCCUAUGGGUUGUAAACCUCUUUUUUCAGGGAGGAAUAAAUGACGUGUACCUGAAGAAUAAGCAUCGGCUAACUCCGUGCCAGCAGCCGCGGUAAGACGGAGGAUGCAAGUGUUAUCCGGAAUCACUGGGCGUAAAGCGUCUGUAGGUUGUUGAACAAGUCAACUGUUAAAUCUUGAGGCUCAACUUCAAAAUCGCAGUCGAAACUGUUUGACUAGAGUAUAGUAGGGGUAAAGGGAAUUUCCAGUGGAGCGGUGAAAUGCGUAGAUAUUGGAAAGAACACCGAUGGCGAAGGCACUUUACUGGGCUAUUACUGACACUCAGAGACGAAAGCUAGGGUAGCAAAUGGGAUUAGAUACCCCCAGUAGUCCUAG